AGCCUUGCGGUGGAACAUGACUGACAAGUAGGUGAGCACUGAAAGGUCUCUAGAAGCCUAAUGAUCUGGAUGCUAAGGAACCUUCUCCACUGAUGACUCUUCAUAGCUGGUAAUAAGUAGUAAUAACUAAUUCUGUCAAACAUUGAUUGCAGGUUUUGCUCUUCUGAGAUAUGAAGAGACCAGGUGGUCAUUCCUACCAGGGAGAAAUGAGGCUUAGUGGCAUGGCUGUCCUAGGCAAGGAGACAAAAAAGCCACUUCAAAUAGUUCAGCUAGUCGCAAAUCUGAAUCAAGUCAGCAGAACAUCACAGACAUGGAGAUGAGAGAAAUGCAGAUGAGUUGAACGUUGAGGGUGUGAAAUCUUCAGGAAGUUGCUAGAAGAUCUGGGAUAUCUACAGAAAGGAAACAAACAAAACUCGUCACUGUUACCAAGAGGAGGAGAGUUACAGAUGCUCAGGAUUUGAGUACAAAGGAAUAGGAAUGGAGCUGAACAGAUCCAACACCUGAAAAGACGAUUGGAUCUCAAAAUAUGAAAGACCCUUCAUUCAAUAAAGCAACAGGAUUGGCUCUGAGGAGAGGAAAGAGCCAGCGUGGACAAUAUUCAAGACACAAUGUUCAAAGGUUGCUGCUGGGAUGGAAGCAAAGAAGAAAGCCCUGGAGACAGGUUAGUGCUGGGACACAGACACUAUCCUGGAGGGGCCUGGGACAGGGUAUGUAACCAUAGCAACCAGCGGGUCCUUUCCCCACUGUGGUCCUGGCUCGCAUGCACAGGGUGAAACCGAUCGCCAUGUUUGGGGUCAGGAAGGAAUUUUCCUCCAGGGCAGAUUGGCCAGAGACCCUGGAGGUUUUUCGCCUUCCUCUGGGGCAUCGAGCAGUGACCAGCCCUUAGGACCAUUUACGAACAGACAUAAUAAAAUCCAUCAAAGAGAA